rnacentral:rRNA from 1 species
GAUGAACGCUAGCGGCAGGCUUAAUACAUGCAAGUCGAGGGGCAGCAUAAUUGUAGCAAUACAGUUGAUGGCGACCGGCAAACGGGUGCGGAACACGUACAGAACCUUCCUUCGAGCGGGGAAUAGCCCAGAGAAAUUUGGAUUAAUACCCCAUAGUAUUACGGAGUGGCAUUACUUUGUAAUUAAAGAUUUAUCACUUGAAGAUGGCUAUGCGGCUGAUUAGGUAGUUGGCGGGGUAACGGCCCACCAAGCCUGCGAUCAGUAACUGGUGUGGGAGCACGACCAGUACAAGAGGCACGGAGACACGGGCCCUACUCCUACGGGAGGCAGCAGUAAGGAAUAUUGGUCAAUGGACGAAAGUUUGAACCAGCCAUGCCGCGUGAAGGAUGAAGGUCCUCUGGAUUGUAAACUUCUUUUAUAUGGGACGAAAAAAGGCUUUUCUAAGUCGUCUGACGGUACCAUAUGAAUAAGCACCGGCUAACUCCGUGCCAGCAGCCGCCGUAACAC